CAGUCGCCACGGGAAUACGGAGGGUGCAAGCGUUAUCCGGAUUUAUUGGGUUUAAAGGGUCCGUAGGCGGAUCUGUAAGUCAGUGGUGAAAUCUCACAGCUUAACUGUGAAACUGCCAUUGAUACUGCAGGUCUUGAGUAAAUUUGAAGUGGCUGGAAUAAGUAGUGUAGCGGUGAAAUGCAUAGAUAUUACUUAGAACACCAAUUGCGAAGGCAGGUCACUAAGAUUUAACUGACGCUGAUGGACGAAAGCGUGGGGAGCGAACAGGAUUAGAUACCCGGGUAGUCCCUGUCUCUUAUAC
rnacentral:rRNA from 1 species